AUCAUUUUCUGAUAGACAUUGAUAAUUUUGGUGUUGAUGUAUAUUACUUUCACCAAUCAUAAAUUUAAUAAAGAACGCUGCUUUUAAUUCUAAAAUCUUCAGUGCUCGAUCACCCUCUUUCACCUUUUCAAAAUGGCUAUGACACAGUUUGUAAUGUCUUUUUAAACAAGACAUAACAUUGCGACUCAAAACGCGAUAGCAGAUCACGCAUCCAUGUUUUCUAUGCAAAAAAAAAAUUAUUUACCAUUCCUCCCGAAAAAUUUUAUGUGUGUAUUAUUCGAAUAAAUGCGCAGUGAAGUCUCAGCAGCACAGUAUACCAGUAGAAAAGGUUUUUGUUUUUGUAGCUGUUUCGUGGUGAAAGUCCUUUAUGGGGACCAAAUUUCCACACAAGAAAUUGAGCACAUGGUUGCUUUUGCGUCCCAAAAGAAUGAAUAUUAGAAAACAUUUAAAAAAAGUCUAAGGUAAUACAAUUAUAUGCAACUAAAAAUAAUCACAAUAAUUUGCACUUAUGAGUUUUCAACUAUUAUUUUUCACAAAAUAAUUUUGCGGAUCAGUUUGCUCUGAGCGCUUGUGUUGUUUACCAAAAAAAUGCAGCCCUGUUGGUUUUUGUUUCUGUAUCGCAUCGCGGUGAGUUUCUAUUUCUUGGUAAUUCGGUUUGUGAAAUGACUAUUAAUUACAAGCACAGCAUCAUCAACGGUGAUUGCAAGAACUACUGCAAUCCCUGCGGUUUUUCCUCUUGGUAAAUGCGUUCAGGUCGUGAUCAAGGGUGGUCUCCCAAAUCGGCCGGGAAUAAGGCUAUUGUUGCAGAACAAAACGCCGCAACCAGUGCUGUGGUAAAUAUGUUCCAGCAGAACUGCCCACCGCCGUCGGUGUAAUGAUUUCGAUGGCUGAACAAACGCCAUCUCCUGGGCUAUUCCCACAGCUUGCGGACACUAGCUAUUAUAUCACGUGUGAAUGCAACUGCGGCUUAAUUUGGUUAUUAACAGUGCAGUAGUACCAUGUCAUUGGCAAAACGACUAAGGGCUGCUGGCACAAAUAGGUUGUAAAGUUUUUGGUAUCGAUGAACAUACUCGAAGAAGACGAUGACCGAAAACAUAUGAUGAAACAUCUUCUGGCAUGCCUUUGACAAUCGUUAAGUCAGACGGAGGCUUCACAUACGAUAUUUCACACAUGGCUCGAAUUCGUUAGCGGACAGAGCACACAUUUACAAAAUAUUUAUCGUUCAGCAGAACGUGCAUGCAUAUUCGAUAUUUCACACAUGGCUGGAAUUCGU